rnacentral:rRNA from 1 species
UAAGGAAUAUUAUGCAAUGGACGCAAGUCUGACAUAGCCAUGCCGCGUGCAGGAUGAAGGCGCUCUGCGUUGUAAACUGCUUUUAUCUGGGAAGAAAUCCCCGUUUCUACGGGAGUUGACGGUACCAGAGGAAUAAGCACCGGCUAACUCCGUGCCAGCAGCCGCGGUAAUACGGAGGGUGCAAGCGUUAUCCGGAUUUACUGGGUUUAAAGGGUGCGUAGGCGGGCAGUUAAGUCAGUGGUGAAAUCUCCGAGCUUAACUUGGAAACUGCCAUUGAUACUAUCUGUCUUGAAUCUUGUGGAGGUAAAUGGAAUAUGUCAUGUAGCGGUGAAAUGCUUAGAGAUGACAUGGAACACCAAUUGCGAAGGCAGUUUGCUACACAAGUAUUGACGCUGAGGCACUAAAGCGUGGGGAUCAAACAGGAUUAGAGACCCUGGUAGUCCACGCCCUAAACUAUGAGUACUCGACAUUAGUGAUACACUAUUAGUGUCUAAGCGAAAGCAUUAAGUACUCCANGCUGGGAAGUACGACCGCAAGGUUG